CAACCCACGCUCGACGGCGUUCUUAAUUGCAACGUGCAGUCGGUUGUUGAAUGAGUUUCACACUGUCAAGGUGUGUAACUUGAAGCAUCGACAGUUUACAAGUUCAUCGCACACAAACGACGAACUCCCUGUCGAACGCUAAGCAAUGCGGUUAAUUUUUGCCGUUCGCGGCGAAUCUACAAUUGCAUUUGUUUGGAUGUUUGACAAACAAAGGGACUCGUUGGCGAAACGAACUCGAUUCCAAGUCCUUGGUGGUUAUUUGGAAAUCGAACCUAAAACUUUUGA
rnacentral:misc_RNA from 1 species